UACGUAGGGGGCAAGCGUUGUCCGGAAUCAUUGGGCGUAAAGAGCGCGUAGGCGGCCCUGUAAGUCCGCUGUGAAAGUCAAGGGCUCAACCCUUGGAUGCCGGUGGAUACUGCAGGGCUAGAGUCCGGAAGAGGCGAGUGGAAUUCCUGGUGUAGCGGUGAAAUGCGCAGAUAUCAGGAGGAACACCGAGUGGCAAAGGCGG
rnacentral:rRNA from 1 species